UACGUAGGUGGCAAGCGUUGUCCGGAUUUACUGGGCGUAAAGAGCGCGCAGGCGGCCAAGUCAGUCGAAUGUGAAAGCCCCCGGCUCAACUGGGGAGGGUCAUUCGAUACUGCUCGGCUCGAAGACAGGAGAGGGAAGUGGAAUUCCCGGUGUAGUGGUGAAAUGCGUAGAUAUCGGGAGGAACACCAGUGGCGAAGGCGGCUCACUGGACCGGUACUGACGCUGAUGCGCGAAAGCGUGGGGAGCAAACGGG
rnacentral:rRNA from 1 species